AGCAGCACCAAGUAUAAGCCCGCUCAGUAUGAGAAACUGCAAGCCAUUGUUGAUGCCAAACGUCGGGAGUCUAAUCUCAUUGGACAAAAGGUUCAAAGAAGCUUGCGUGCCGCCAAGGUAACCAAGGAGAAGUCGAUCUUACGGCAGCACAGGCAGGUGUGGAGCUCAGAGUGCCCCAGGCUGCGAAAGGCUGAGAAGAAGAUUGAGGAUGACAUCCAGGAAUUUUUGCAGCAAAUCAGACAGAGUGACAGAAGUGACACUGCCAUCAUCUCAAUUCAAGA
rnacentral:lncRNA from 1 species